CUGGCUGCGGUUUCUUCCUCAUCGGCGGCAAUACAGGAGCGUUUUUCAGGGAAGGGACUGGGAUCUGUUUAUUUAGGCUCCUUAAAACGUAUAGCUAAAACAGUUCAUCAAAGGGAAGAAACUGGGAUGCGGGAGUCCAGGGCUCUUUGCUUUGGGGUGGGGGAAAGCAGUGGUUGUAGAAAACAGCCCAUCAAACUGGGAUGUUGGGGGUUCUGUGAAUGUGGGACGCCUCUGCACUUAUUUCUGGCUAUAAAAGGUAGCUUAUCAAAGGGAACAAACUGGAAUGCAGGGGCCUGUCAAGCGGAGGCCUCUGCCCUUUUCAUUGGCCUCAGAAUCAAUGUAUCGGGGAGCUUGAGUCUGUGACCUCCGCUUUCCUGCCUGAGUUACUAAAGAAAGUUGCUCAAAGGGAACUAGGGAUCUGACCCUAUAAUCUUUUGUGCUUAAAAAAAAGAUUCAGAGGGAACCUGACUAGCGAGGUGUGUGCACUUUGGGAGACUGCUGGUGUAUAUCAGGAGCCCAUGUGCAGCUCCCCCAAGUCCUCCUGCUGUGUGUACACCUAGGUGGCCAGAUUUGGCUUUUUAAAAGCCAAAUUCUGGCUUACGGCCCAUUUGACCUACAUGUAUACCCCUUAGGUUCUGGCAUCUCUGGACCUACCUUAGGGUUUGGAGUGCUCCUGAUGCUCUGGAAGUGCUCUGGAAGAUUAGAAACAUGCUGUGGAGGGACCUCAAACGGAGGGCUCUGGAACAACAGCGCGUGUGCAGGGGAACUGGGAGAGUUGUGCAAGCACUUCUGGCACAUCCCUGCAGUCCUAUGAAGCUGUUGCACUUUUUUUAGUCAAGACGAAGGUCAGCCACUGUUUAAAAAGGAUUUCCUUUAAAGAGCAAAUAUAUCCUGCUGUUCAGUUUUUGGCAGACUGCAAUGGAGGUCAAAUAAGAAUGUUCCUGAAAACAGCUUCCCUAUGGCAAGUAAUCUCUGUUAUAAGAAUAUGAGCCCUGCUGCAUCAGGCCCAAGGUGUAUCUAGUCCAGCAUCCUGUUUCCCACAGUGGCCCACCAGAAGCCCCUGAGAAGCCCACAAACAGAAGAUGAAGACACGCCCUUUCCUAUUGUUCCUUCCCUGCAACUGGUAUUCAUUCUGCCUCUGAACCUGAAGAUACCCUAUAGCCAUCAAGACUACUAGCAAUUAAUAGACCUGUCCUCCAUAAAUUUGUCUAAGCUACUUUUAAAGCUAUCACCACAUCUUGUGGCAGAGAAUUCCACAUAUUAUGUGCUGUGUGGAAAAGUACUUCAUUUUGUCUCAGUUUCAUGGGAUGACCCCUAAUUUUUAGCACUGUAAGAGGGAUAAAAAUUUCUGUCUAUCCACUCUUUCUACACCAUGCAUAAUUUAUAACAUUAUUUCUAUAUAUCUCCCCUUAAUUGCCUUUUUUCUGCAUAAAAAAGCCUCAAAUGUUGUAGCCUUACCUCAUAAUUCAGGUUGUAAUUACCACAUGAUAGUCACUGUCACAUGGAGAGUCGCCUGCUCAACAUUGUGGGCAGCUGGCAGGCUAAUGGAGAUUCCCAUCAGAUUGAUGCUGAGGGUGAUGCAUAGUAACCUGUACUAAACAUUUCCUUUUGGACUGAUGAAUCAUUUGCUGUAGGAAGCUAGUUUGGGGCAGUAUCCUUUUGGUGUGUGUGGAUGUGUAAUGUGUAAAUUGUUCAUAAACAAAAGGAAUAUUGCAAGGACAUUCUGUGUGGCAACAACUUAAGUAACUCAUUUAUGGGAAACAGGCCACGCCAAGCAAAUGCAAUGAUAACUUUAACUGAGAUACUGGAAGUGAAUACUCUUCAUAAUCAAUCUUAGGUGUUCAGAGCAAAAAUAACAAUACGGUAAGUGCCCAUGCUGUUUGUAAUCUGGUUGAAUCUGAUGCUUUUAAUACAAAGGACUAAAAAGGCAGAACACAGAACUCUUUAGAUUUGCCUUGGAGAAUGUUUCCUAAUGUAAUACAAAGGGAUAGGGUAGCAUUAAUGUUCUGGAUAGAUUUUGUUCUUUGUUUUAAUUCUAGGAGGUAUACACUGUAUUGCUGAGGACAGAGAGCACAUAAUCUCCAAAGGAAAAAGAAAGCAAAAACCAGAACAAAUGUUGAUAAAGGUAGGGCUCUUCGAAUGGCAUGAGUUGGUGAGGGGAGCCACUUGUUACAUGCCUCACAGUAAUGUCUGAGGCCUAUCCAAGAGGUGCCCGUGAUGCUAGCAAAAUCAGUGCCUGUACAACAAAAGACACGCAAUAGUGAUGUCUCUUGGGGCAAGUGCUGCAGCUUACCACCAACGGGUUUUAGCAGUUUGAAUACUAACUGGAAAAGAUAUCCAGGCAGUUUUGGAUGAUCUAGAGCUAUUUCAAACUGGCUUUCUAGUGGGCUAUAGGGUUGAGACUGCCUUAGUUGGCCUGAUAGAUGAUCUCAAACUGGCUGUUGACAGAGGGAGUGUGACCCUUGGAUUACUCGGCAGCUUUCAGUACCAUCAAUCAUGGUAUCCUUUAUCGCCAGGGUGGGAUGGGAUUAGGUGGCACUGUUUUAUAGUGGUUCCGUUCCUACUUCUCCGGUAGAUUCCAGAUGGUGUCACUUGGAGACUGCUGUUCUGCAAAGUGAGAACCAAAGUGUGGCGUUCCACAGGGCUCCAUACUGUCUCCAAUGCUCUUUAACAUCUACAUGAACCUGCUGGGAGAGAUCAUCAGGAGCUUUGGUGUGGUGUGUUACCAAUAUGCUGAUAAACCCAGAUCUAUUUCUCCAUGUUGACCUCAUCAGAAAAUGGCAUAACUUCCCUAAAUGUCUACCUGGAGGUGGUAAUGGGCUGGAUGAAGGAUAACAAGUUGAAUCCAAAUAAGAUGGAGGCACUGACUAGGGGGUUGGGAUCCGAGAGAUACUUUCGACCUGCCUGUUCUGAAUGGGGUUACACUUCCCCUGAAAGAUCAGGUACAUAGCAUGGGAGUGCUCCUGGAUGCAGAAAUCUCUGGUUUCUCAGGUUGAGACAGUGGCCAGGAGCACUUUUUAUCAGUUUCGGCUGAUAUGUCAGCUAUGUCCAUUUCGAAACGUGAAUGACCUUAAAACAGUGGUACAUAUGCUGGUAACCUCCAGGCUUAACUACUGUAAUGCACUCUACAUGGGGCUGCCUUUGUAUGUAGUGCGGGAACUACAACUGGUACACAAUGCAGCAGCCAGAUUGGUCUCUGGGACUACCCAAUGGGGCCACAUAACACCGAUUUUAAAAGAACUGGACUGGCUGCUGAUAUAUUUCCGAAAGAAAUACAAACUGCUGGUUAUUACCUAUAAAGUCCUUAAUGGUUUGGGCCCAGGGUUUUUAAGAGAGUGCCUUCAUUGUCAUGAACCCUGCUGCCUAUUACAAUCUUCUGGAGAGAUCUGGUUAUGGUUGUCGCCGGCUCAUUUGGUGGCAACACAGGACUGGGUUUUCUCUGUGGCUGCCUCUGGGGUUUUGGAAUAUGCUCCCUGUUGAAAUAAGAGGGAUUCCUGUUUGUUUUCAGGAGGGCCCUCAAGACUCAUGUUCUCGCAAGCUUUUAAUUAGAAUUAAUUUUAAUAAUUUGUUUUAUUUUAUGAGAUUUAUUGUGUUUUGUAGAAUUGUAAUGUUUUUACUCUUUUAUAUUGUGUGUUAAAUUUUGUACACUGACUAGAGAUGUACAUAUCAGGCGGUAUAAAAAUAUGAUAAACAGACCAGACACAGAAGUAUGUAGGACAGGGCUUAAGAAGAUUUGAUGCAAGACAUAUAUAUUGUCUUCUCUCUAAAGCUAUGAAGCCAUAAACAGGUUGUUCCUUAAAAUGUUUCAGUCACAUGAACGCUAUAGAGAUAAUCCAUAGGAUAUGAAUUUUAUUUCCACAAACUCAUUUUGAACUGCACAAAGUUGUAGAAAUCAAAUCCCAUGAAUUAGUAAGCAUCAACCUACACAUUAGGACUGAGAUGCAUUUAAAUGACUGCCUCUUUAAAGUUUUUGCAAGAGCAGCCACAGGGAGCCCUGGACUACCCUUUCCCUCCUAUGCCAUUAUCCAGGUUAUUAUUAUUAUUAUUAUUAAAUAUAUCACUUUUCAACAAAAAAAAGUUUCAAAGCAGUUUAAGUAGCAAAAGGAAAGAGAAAAUGGUUCCUUCUCCCAUACUUGCCAACAUGUCCCUAUCUUUCUUAGCAUCUAAAAGUAACACCACCACAAACACAAACCACCAGCAACAGCCACUGGAGACCUGCUGUGCUGGGCAGAAUAAGGAAAGUUUCUCUCCUCCAGCUAAAGAUAAGAGAGCACCCACUUCAAAGAGGUGCUUUUUGCCCAAUUAGCAUGAGUGAUCAAAAUUCCUUGACCAAAGCUGUUUCCCCCCUUGCUAGUAAAAACAUUUGGAUACCUUUUUAUUAAUGGGGCAAAUUGCUAUUAGUUUUAUUGGGAAACUGUGGGUAGAAAGGGUUAACUCUUUCCCCCUCCCACAGUCCCAGAUUGUCUCAGUUCCCCUCCCCUGUGGCUUCUAUUUGCAAAAAUAUUUUUAAAAAAAAAAUUGAAAGAGACAGGGAUGUAUUUGUGCAUCUUCAUCAUCAAGUCCAGUUUGGCCUUUAGUCUGUCAACAACAUAUUCUACUCUGAUCUCUAAAAAUGUGCAGAGGAAAGCAAAACACCCCCCACUCCAAACCUGCAUAUUUGCAGGGGUGGGAAUGGGGAACAAAACCUUUUAUUUGGGAUUCCUAAAUAUUGUACAGCCAUGCAGAACCUUCCUUGGAGUUCCCCGAUGACUGUGUUAUGUUGUUGUUUAUAAAUUACCACAGGAACCACCAGCUGUCAUCAUAAAAAUUUUAUUGGCACUCUGUAAAUAUUAAAUCAGCAUGCUAAAAUCAUGCCAUGUGCAGUAGCAGCUGAUGCUCUCUUAUGGAGGCAGCUUGAAAAGGAAGGGAUUGUGCUGUGUUGCCUACACGCUCUUAAGUACCUAUGGAUAUUUUGUGAUACUAAUACAGGUUUUGGUUAUGCCGAUGCAUUUAGGCAUUAUCUGUAAACCAAAAGCUUCAUUUAUUCUUGAAAUGAAGUUAUUAUUAAACUUAAUAAUAAUAGUA